rnacentral:rRNA from 1 species
GUGGGGAAUCUUCCGCAAUGGACGAAAGUCUGACGGAGCAACGCCGCGUGAACGAUGACGGCCUUCGGGUUGUAAAGUUCUGUUAUACGGGACGAAUGGUACGACGGUCAAUACCCGUCGCAAGUGACGGUACCGUAAGAGAAAGCCACGGCUAACUACGUGCCAGCAGCCGCGGUAAUACGUAGGUGGCAAGCGUUGUCCGGAAUUAUUGGGCGUAAAGGGCGCGCAGGCGGCGUCGUAAGUCGGUCUUAAAAGUGCGGGGCUUAACCCCGUGAGGGGACCGAAACUGCGAUGCUAGAGUAUCGGAGAGGAAAGCGGAAUUCCUAGUGUAGCGGUGAAAUGCGUAGAUAUUAGGAGGAACACCAGUGGCGAAAGCGGCUUUCUGGACGACAACUGACGCUGAGGCGCGAAAGCCAGGGGAGCAAACGGGAUUAGAUACCCGAGUAGUCC